rnacentral:rRNA from 1 species
AUUGAACGCUGGCGGCAUGCCUAACACAUGCAAGUCGAACGGGGGCAGCAAUGCCCUAGUGGCGGACGGGUGAGGAAUACGUAGGAAUUGGCCCACGAGUGGGGGACAACCUGGGGAAACCCAGGCUAAUACCGCAUACGCUCGCGAGAGGAAAGCGGGGGACCUUCGGGCCUCGCGCUGGUGGACAAGCCUACGUCCGAUUAGCUUGUUGGUGGGGUAAAAGCCUACCAAGGCGACGAUCGGUAGCUGGUCUGAGAGGAUGAUCAGCCACACUGGGACUGAGACACGGCCCAGACUCUUACGGGAGGCAGCAGUGGGGAAUAUUGGACAAUGGGCGCAAGCCUGAUCCAGCAAUGCCGCGUGGGUGAAGAAGGCCUGCGGGUUGUAAAGCCCUUUAAGCGGGGAGGAAAGCCGGGGUGUCAAUAGCGCCCUGGGGUGACGUUACCCGCAGAAUAAGCACCGGCUAACUCCGUGCCAGCAGCCGCGGUAAU